GGAUUUGAAUGAGGGGUAAGUUAUACUUGGAGCUUCCCAAAAUGAAAGAGAUAGAGCAAUGUGGACUUUUUCCUCAGAGACCUUAGUGUUCCUGACCCCAUAUCCUUUCCCCGUAUCUUCCAGAUUCGAGGGACUGGGUCUGGGGGGCAGCUUCAGGAUCUGGACUGCAGCAGCUCCGAUGAUGAAGGGGCUGCUCAAAACUCUACCAAACCUAGUGCGACCAAGGGAACACUGGGUGGCAUGUUUGGUAUGCUGAAGGGCCUUGUGGGUUCAAAGAGCUUGAGUCGUGAAGACAUGGAAUCUGUGCUGGACAAGAUGCGUGAUCAUCUCAUUGCUAAGAACGUGGCUGCAGACAUUGCCGUCCAGCUCUGUGAAUCUGUUGCCAACAAGUUGGAAGGGAAGGUGAUGGGGACGUUCAGCACGGUGACUUCCACAGUAAAGCAAGCCCUACAGGAGUCCCUGGUGCAGAUUCUGCAGCCACAGCGUCGUGUAGACAUGCUCCGGGACAUCAUGGAUGCCCAGCGUCGCCAGCGCCCUUAUGUCGUCACCUUCUGCGGCGUUAAUGGAGUGGGGAAAUCUACUAAUCUUGCCAAGAUUUCCUUCUGGUUGUUAGAGAAUGGCUUCAGUGUCCUCAUUGCUGCCUGUGAUACAUUUCGUGCUGGGGCUGUGGAGCAGCUGCGUACACAC
rnacentral:sRNA from 1 species